rnacentral:rRNA from 1 species
ACUCACCAGGUCAGGACACGGUAAGGAUUGACGGACUGAAGGCUCUUUCUCGAUUCCGUGGAAAGUGGUGCAUGGCCGUUUUUGGUUGGUGGAUCGAUCCGUCUGGUUAAUUCCGUUAACGAACGAGACCUCGGCACUCCGAAUAGCGCGGCGGACGUCGCGGCCUCCGGGCCGUCUUCCGCACGAGCUUCUUAGAGGGACCGUCCCCCGCCGGGGAAGGAGGUGCGAGGCAACGACAGGUCUGUGAUGCCCUUAGAUGUUCUGGGCCGCACGCGCAUUACACUGACGCGUCCAACGGGUGACUCCCGACCCGAAGGGGCCGGGGAAUCCGCAAGGCGCGUCGUGAUGGGGAUUGAACGUUGCAAUUGUUGUUCACGAACGAGGAAUUCCUAGUAGGCGCGGGUCAUCAACCCGCGCCGAUUACGUCCCCUGCCCUUUGUACACACCGC